GACGAACGCUGGCGGCGUGCUUAAUACAUGCAAGUCAACUUGACUUUAGAUAGCAAUAUCGAAAAGUAGGGUGGCGCACGGGUGCGUAACGCGUAGGUAAUCUGCCCUGAGGUCUGACAUAACCCGUCGAAAGGCGGGCUAACAUCAGAUGAUAUAUAAUCACGACAUCGUGGAAAUAUCAAAUCUUCGGAGCCUUGGGAUGAGCCUGCGUCUGAUUAGGUAGUUGGCGGAGUAAUAGCCCACCAAGCCUACGAUCAGUAGCUGGUCUGAGAGGAUGAUCAGCCACACUGGAACUGAGACACGGUCCAGACUCCUACGGGAGGCAGCAGUAAGGAAUAUUGCUCAAUGGGGGAAACCCUGAAGCAGCAACGCCGCGUGAAGGAUGAAAUACUUUUGUAUGUAAACUUCUGUAAGAUGGGAAAAAUAUUACUCCUCGGAGAAUUGAUUGUACCAUCAGAGUAAG
rnacentral:rRNA from 1 species